GAUGAACGCUGGCGGUGUGCUUAACACCUGCAAGUCGAACGAAGCACCUUAUUCUGAUUUCUUCGGAAUGAAAAAUUUGGUGACUGAGUGGCGGACGGGUGAGUAACGCGUGGGUAACCUGCCUCAUACAGGGGGAUAACAGUUAGAAAUGACUGCUAAUACCGCAUAAGACCACAGCACCGCAUGGUGCAGGGGGAAAAACUCCGGUGGUAUGAGAUGGACCCGCGUCUGAUUAGGUAGUUGGUGGGGUAACGGCCUACCAAGCCGACGAGCAGUAGCCGACCUGAGGGGGUGACCGGCCACAUUGGGACUGAGACACGGCCCAAACUCCUACGGGAGGCAGCAGUGGGGAAUAUUGCACAAUGGGGGAAACCCUGAUGCAGCUACGCCGCGUGAGCGAUGAAGUAUUUCGGUAUGUAAAGCUCUAUCAGCAGGGAAGAAAAUGACGGUACCUGACUAAGAAGCACCGGCUAAAUACGUGCCAGCCGCCGCCGUAA
rnacentral:rRNA from 1 species